rnacentral:rRNA from 1 species
AGUGAACGCUGGCGGUAGGCCUAACACAUGCAAGUCGAACGGCAGCACAGAGGAGCUUGCUCCUUGGGUGGCGAGUGGCGGACGGGUGAGGAAUACAUCGGAAUCUACUCUGUCGUGGGGGAUAACGUAGGGAAACUUACGCUAAUACCGCAUACGACCUACGGGUGAAAGCAGGGGACCUUCGGGCCUUGCGCGAUUGAAUGAGCCGAUGUCGGAUUAGCUAGUUGGCGGGGUAAAGGCCCACCAAGGAGACGAUCCGUAGCUGGUCUGAGAGGAUGAUCAGCCACACUGGAACUGAGACACGGUCCAGACUCCUACGGGAGGCAGCAGUGGGGAAUAUUGGACAAUGGGCGCAAGCCUGAUCCAGCCAUACCGCGUGGGUGAAGAAGGCCUUCGGGUUGUAAAGCCCUUUUGUUGGGAAAGAAAUCCAGCUGGCUAAUACCCGGUUGGGAUGACGGUACCCAAAGAAUAAGCACCGGCUAACUUCGUGCCAGCCGCCGCCGUAAAAC